rnacentral:lncRNA from 10 species
AGUUUACUUUUGAGAAAUGUGAGUCACAAAAAGUAAAACAACGUACUCAAGGUCACACCGCUGAGAAGUGUGUUAGGUGAGACAUCUUGAAGCUCUUCCUUCUCAUGCUGGAAAGGCUGUCAGAAAGUUCAAGUCCUCCUCUUGACAUAGUACAUGCCUAUUUGCUCAUUGGGAUAGGCUAACCUUUUCAAGCAAUGUGCGGCACCCCUUAGCUUCAAUAAAGUGUUCAAUGUAAGAAG